ACGCUUUGUCUUUAAUUGAUCUGACGAGCUUGCUCUGAUUUGAUUCUAUCUGACAAAGAGUGGCGAACGGGUGAGUAACACGUGGGUAACCUACCUCUUAGCAGGGGAUAACAUUUGGAAACAAGUGCUAAUACCGUAUAAUACCAACAACCGCAUGGUUGUUGGUUGAAAGAUGGUUCUGCUAUCACUAAGAGAUGGACCCGCGGUGCAUUGGCUAGUUGGUAAGGUAACGGCUUACCAAGGCAAUGAUGCAUAGCCGAGUUGAGAGACUGAUCGGCCACAAUGGGACUGAGACACGGCCCAUACUCCUACGGGAGGCAGCAGUAGGGAAUCUUCCACAAUGGGCGCAAGCCUGAUGGAGCAACGCCGCGUGUGUGAUGAAGGGUUUCGGCUCGUAAAACACUGUUAUAAGAGAAGAACGGCACUGAGAGUAACUGUUCAGUGUGUGACGGUAUCUUACCAGAAAGGAACGGCUAAAUACGUGCCAGCAGCCGCGGUAAUACGUAUGUUCCAAGCGUUAUCCGGAUUUAUUGGGCGUAAAGCGAGCGCAGACGGUUAUUUAAGUCUGAAGUGAAAGCCCUCAGCUCAACUGAGGAAUGGCUUUGGAAACUGGAUGACUUGAGUGCAGUAGAGGAAAGUGGAACUCCAUGUGUAGCGGUGAAAUGCGUAGAUAUAUGGAAGAACACCAGUGGCGAAGGCGGCUUUCUGGACUGUAACUGACGUUGAGGCUCGAAAGUGUGGGUAGCAAACAGGAUUAGAUACCCUGGUAGUCC
rnacentral:rRNA from 1 species